rnacentral:piRNA from 1 species
UAGCUCCUUUUUGGUUAUGAGAAGAG